CAAAUAAUGAAAAUGAAUGAAAACACGGGAGACGGGACCAAAUUGAUAACAACCUUUAUCUCUUUCUUUUUACUCUCUAUCCUGUAAGAUACAACAGAUGUUUCUAGGGUUUGCUCUGCCUACCCAUUCAGAUAUUGAAGAAUCUCAAGGGCUCAUCCUCAUCUCCUAUACUCGCAUCGUAUUUUCUGCUCAAUACUAUAUUCAAAUCUAGGUAUUUCUUUGGUGCUUUUCCUUCCGAUUCCCUCAUUUUUAGAUUGUGUUUUUCUUUUUUUGAAGCUUGAAUUUGCCAGGUUUUUCUCCAUCUCUCUCUCUCUAAUAUAUUUAUACAGGGGUGAUUUUUGGAUGUUUUGGAUCGGUUAACUUUUUGUUUAUUCUCGGGACAGGAUUUGAUGGUUAAUUAUUGUAAUUACUGCUAUCAUAUGAUUUUAACUCCAAUUCGUUCUUGCAUAUAAUGCCAAUUCCACAUUUCAUUAGCAUUGGUAUUAUAUUGUUCUUGAAGUCAACAGGUUGUGGGAAUUUGCAAUUUAGCCAUAUUUGUGUUACGGAAUUGAAUUUUAGUAUUUCUUUUAUGGGUGGACUGGGGUGUGUAGGAAAUGGAGAUUUUGACAUAUAGAGCGGAUGUGUAUUUCAGUUGUAUGUAAGCCUAAAUGUAAAUGGUAAUAACCCUAGUUGGCCUUUUAUGCUUUAUUAUUUUAGAUAAAAAGCUUUUCUAGGAAAAAAGAGUUAAGAUAUCCUUCCAAUUUUGUCCAUGUUCAACAGUAUGACUCAUUAUACUUGAGUUUUCAAGAAUAAGUCCUGUAGGAUUGUUCAAUAUCAACCACCAAAUUUUGUUUGUGAGAUGAAAGGAGUUUCUCUAUGAGGUAAUAGAAGGAUAUGCUUCAUGCCAUUAUCAAGAAGCCAUAAAAAUAUGACCUUUACCUAGUGAACUUAUACUGGUUACUAAUUAUGUUUUCUAUGUCGAUGGAUGUUGCCAUUUUUGGAAAUUUUAAUGUCCUCAUUAUAAAUUGACUUUAACAAUUGGACAAAUUGAUGAGUAAGGAUGGCUUGCCUACUCAGAAUAGAAUAUUGAAUUAUAUUUCUUGGUUCAGAAUACUAAUAAUUGGAUGACACAGAAGCUCUUUCAUUCUCAAUGAAGUGACAAAAUUUUAAUUAUUUCCAUCUCUUGUUUCUCUUAUCCUUUAUUGCCACUUCAAAAUGGAUAUCACAAGUCUGUUACUGCUACAGUCUAAGAAAUGAAACCUGCAUUAGUGCUGCCAUUGUCUUUGGCUUAGAUGCUUUGAUAUUUGUUUAUUGUAUGUUUGCUAAGGCACUUCAAGGUUUUCCACCGGAAAUAAUUUAAAACUUGAGCAGGUUAUUUUAGUUUUGCUUAACAUGUUAUCGUUGCAUUAAAUACAUCAAUAUUUCCUCCUCAAAUCACCAUGGAAGGUCUUAUAUAUUUCUUGACAAUUUGAUGUAUAUUCAAUAUAGCUUACAUGGGUGGUCACAGAGUUAAGAAUAAGGAACCAAUGUCAUGGUCGGACGAGAAUGCAGGGCCGGUCAUGUAUAGAGGCCCAAAAUCGGUGGGGGCCUAUUUUUGGCCCAACUUUUUUUUUUAAAGAAAGGAAAGGGAAAAUUUGCUUUCAUUCUUGUCUAGGUCUGCUCUGCUCGACCUCAACGCCGUCACGUUGACGCCACAACUCCAAUCGGACCGACGACCAUGCAACUGCCUCAUUUCCUUAGGUGGCUUCUUCUUCCCUUCCCUUCACUCUUUCACAAAUCACAACAAGAGAGAACAAAUCACAACAAUCUAGCCCUUUUUUCAACCUUAACAGCAAAUUUAGCUCCAUUCUAUUGUUAACGUUUGCAAAAUGCCAAAAUCCAUUCAGCCAUUUCAUUGAAGCAGAAGAACUUUUUAAUCGUUACCCUUGGAAGCAGAAGAUCGGAGGUCUGUACAGGUUAAGCGUAUGUUGAUUUGUCUGUUGUACAUGUGGCUCAUAUAGAGUGGAACACAGGCCCUGAAUCAAAUGGGCCGAUGCCGGCGCGGAGUGGAGCGACGGCAUCGGCCUUGUGCGGGUUUAAUUCACUGUCUGGUUGUUAGGGACGUUGAAUGGGUUGGGGGUGCGGGGGGCGGUACGGUACAAGGGUAUUUUCUGUACGGGCCUUAAAGUUUUAUAUGGGCCCAGAUUAGGGUUAGUAUAAAUAAUAUGUUGUAACUCUAUUUUUCACAACAGAAUAAAGAAAUCUCCGCUUCGCUCUCGUGGACGUAGGCACAUCGCCGAACCACGUAAAAUUCUUGUGUUGAUUUCCGUUUUUCAUCUCUUUAAUAUUGCGCAUAAAAUCCAACAUUGUCUAAAUGGAUUGAUAUAAUUAUAUGUAAUUGUUAUCUUGGACCCUUGGUCUAAAACCUCAGACAUUGUUUACAUGGUUCUUACUUUGUGUUGUGGUUUUUAAUUAGAAUGGUGCAUCUUUUAGUUUUUAAUGAAACUGUGAAGCAUGUACAGGAGAUAAAGUGAUUUAUACUUCGCUUGCAGUUAUGCUUUUGUUGUUUGUGUGUGCUUUAUGCUGAGUUCUGGAAUUCUGAUGCACUGCUUGCAGAACUCUGAAAUCUUGUUGUCAUCAUUUAAAGAGCUCGAUUGCUGUUAUAUUUUCAGUUUUAUUUGUGAAAUACUUCCUUGUUUUUAUAUGUUUGUUUGAACUUGAAUAAGAGAUGUGUAAUUUAUUUAGGAAUUGUUCGUGUCAAGGAUAAGGCCUGCUUAUGUGUUAUUCAGUUAUUGUUUUGUCCAUUCUAAUAUUAGUUAAUCGAGGAAGUCUAGGUAAAGUUCUUGAAGUUAGGUUGUGUAUCUAUUUGCAGAAUAUAAUAUUUUCUUAAUGAUUGUUUUUGGUUGCCGACAUAUUUGAAUAUCUAGUUUUCUUGUCAUAUAGUUCAAUGGUUGGGAUUUUUUACUCAAAAUGAUAGACUAUUGAGACAAGAUCGAAAAAUGUUUUUAUUUUGUUUGGGGAUGUGAUUAUGACUCACCUAGAAGUUACGGCAUGUUUGUGCAUAAUGCUACAUGGUAAAUGUUUUGUGAAAUGAUUCCUACUUUGUAGGAUAACAUUUAGCUAAAAUGAUCUACAGUUUUUAAAUUUUCUCAAACUUCUGUUAAACAGAAUAGAUUAAUGCAAUAGAAUUGUAUAUUUGUAUUGGUGGUUGAUGUUAAAUUUUUAUUUUAGGCUUGUGAGUUAUGAUGGUAGCAUUCUCAAGGGUGUGAUUUCAUAAUUUUCAUCGAAAUUCUACUUCUUAGGUAAACAAUAGCUUGCUUUAACUUGUUAUUGAAUAUAUUGAAAAUGUUUCAAACCUUGUCGGCUUAUAUAAUUGUCGUACAAUCGGCUCAUAUGAUUUGUUAUUGUAGGAUCAAUUUCACAUGCGCACAUAGUAACUAUAUUGAAAACAUUAAUUAUGAGAUGAUUGAGAUAUUUUGCAAUUGUUUUUUAGGUUAGUCUUUGAGCAUUAGAUAUAUACCAUGCCUCCUGAAUAUGAAUAUGGAGCUCUUUGUUAGCAAUAUGUUGCAUAAUACACUUUUGGAUUUUGCAUUUUCGCUCAUUUGGGGGGCCUAAUUUUUUGAGUUCGCCUCGGGUCUUGAAAAUCACAGGACCGGCCCUGCGAGAAUGAGCACGCUUUUAUCGAAAUUCUUUAGAGAAAGUGAAAUCAAAUUCAUUGUAAUGUUCUAUAUUCACGAAAGACGAAUAGAGCAGGAUCAAUGAAACCAUGAUAGCUUCAACAAAAAUUGAUUACGGCACAGAUAGAUUAAAGUGAAAGUUGAACCGCUUACGUAAGAUUCAUCAUAUGUUCUCUGAAUCUUUUGGGACAUAAAAGUGUCACAUGGGAUCCAAAUACCAACAAAGUUAAUGCUGCAAAGGAAGUUUGGCAACACCUUUAUACGGUACAUAUAUUUAUUAAAGAAUAUUUUCGUCAUUAGUUUUUAUCUUAUCAAUUUUACAUUUUUUUGUUGAAUACUAUGACAAUGUGACUUCUUUUAUCAAUGGUAGAUUAAAAAGUCGGAUUACGAGAUGUUCAGGAGCAAAGGAUGUAAGCACUAUUAAGCGGGACUACUGCUAUUGGAGGAUUAGGUAAUGCCUCCACUCAACUUCCAAACACAUUAGAGGAAGAAAGGCACCUAGAAUAUGAUUUUUUGAACAAGGGAGUGUAGGUACAUGCGAAAAAUGAUGAUAAAGUUGACAACAUUUCAAAUACUCAUCAACAUGAUGAGAUUGCUACAUCGGGUGAACUUCAAGGCCUACAUGGCACAGUGGUGAUCUAUAGUUAGUUUGAUGAAUAAAGAAACUGAAAUUAGAAUACCUUACCUAAAAGAAAAGCUUGCAAAGAUCCAAGGAAAAUCAUGUAAUCAAUCGGAUAGUGAAGUUAAAAGUUUGGAUCCUUAGUUAAAUGUUAUUUGCUUGGGCAUCUUAAACAAUAUGGAAUGGGUGUCCAACAAGGUUUAUAUGAAAGCAAUAGAGGCUUUUAAGAAUCCCGAUUUCAAGGUGUCAUUUGUAAAGAUGCUAGAGGCAAGGUGACCUAUUUUGGAACUACUUUGAUGUGACUGUUAUUUUAAUUUCUCUAGUAUCGUUUUGUUUUAAUUUGUGAUGUUGAAGGUUGAAAUACUGUGUUAUUUUCACAGCUUGAAGUACUUUUUUUCCUUUCAUGGUGUUGUACUGUUUUCAUUACGAACUUCGUGAUGCUGUUGGUCGUAGAACUGAUAUUAAUUUUUCUUUAGUUUCUGAAUGCAAUAUUGCUUGUUCUGUUUGAAAGAAUGAUGGUUGUAUUUUCUUUAGUUUAUGAUAAUUAUUGUGGUUAUAUUUUGUUCAUAGUAUGGCCAUGAAUCAAAUGUGGAUGAUACUGUGAGUACCUAUGAUUCCAUUGAUGAAGAUUCGAGUCAUGAUUAUUUUUUAUUUAUGGAUGAUUUUGACGCAAAUUUUGGAGAUUUAAUGAUGCUUAAUUGCUUUGUUGCCAACAAUGGAAGUACUAUUGGCAUGAGACCUUGUAGAAUAUCAUUGCUUGUGGGAAAAUGUAUAUGCUAGAAAUUCUGAAUGGACAUUCAGACAUGUGCUAUCGUAAUUUUUGUGUACAGAAACAUGUUUUCAUGAUUUUUUUUGAUAUUUUGAAAGAAAAAGGGUUGCUGAAAGAUGGAAAGAUGGAAAAAAAAAAGUGAGUGUCAAGGCAGGUAUUAAUAUGUUUUUGAUGAUUUUGGGGCACAUUACACAAAACAGUGUUAUUGGUGAUAGGCUUUAGCAUUCCAACUACACGAUACACAAAUAGUUUAAAUGAAUAGUAAGGGUUGUUUGUUCAUUUGGUACUGAGAUAAUUCGUCCGACAAAUCAAGACAUUGUGCAUGAGUGAAUUUUGCACAAAUAUCCUUUUUUAAGGAUUGUAUAGGCGCAAUAGAUGGAACAUAUGUUGCAGCUUGGGCACCUACAUUGAGACAAAAAUCUUUUCGUGGAAGGAAAAAUAAUAUAACCCAAAAUGUGAUGUUGAUAUAUGAUUUUGAUAUGAAAUCCACAUUUGUGUAUUUUGGUUGGGAAGGUACUGGUAAUGAUUUGUGAGUAUUCAUUGACGCAGUUACAAGAAGUUCGAACAACUUUCCAAUGUCAAGGGGAGGUACAUUUUUAUACUUCAAAUAAUUAAUGCGAAUAUAUUUACAGUGUCACACUAUGUAAGCCUUUUUUUUUUUAUUUUGCAGAUCAAUUUCACCUUGUUGAUUCUCGAUAUCCAAACAUGUCUGGAUUUCUUGCCCCUGCUCAGGGUUAAAGAUAUCAUCUGCAUUACUAUGUUGGACGGGGAAGACUACGUAGGAAGGAAGAAUUGUUCAACUAUAGACACUCCUCAUCUCGUAACAUUAUUGAAUGUUGCAUUGGAGUUUUAAAAGGCAAGAUUUCCAAUUUUGACAAAUCCCUACUACAUGUUACACAAUAAACUACUUUAUUCGUUAGGAGCACGUUUUAGAUAAGUUGGUUGUUGAGUAUUCAGAGGAGAAUAUGGUGUUUCAAGAUAUACCAGAGUCAAGACAAGAUCAAGAAAUCAUACAUUUUGAUAUUAAACAAAGAGCUCAAAUGGGACAAGUUAGGGAUCAAAUUGCUACACAAAUGUGGAAUGACUACUCAAAAUGUUGUACAUGAUUUUGUGAAAGUACUUUAUAUAUUGUUUAGUGUCUGCUUGUUUUGCCUUGACACAUAAACUUCUAAUAGUAUCUAUUGAACUGUUUUGCCAAAUUUAAUUUAGGUUGCAUUUUUUAUAUCUGUUAAAAAAAUAUUUCAAGCCAAGUUCGAACACGAAUG
rnacentral:lncRNA from 1 species